rnacentral:tRNA from 1 species
GGCCGCCUGGCGAAAUGGCAUCGCGUCUGACUACGAAUCAGGAGAUUGCAGGUUCGACCCUGCGGUGGUCA